rnacentral:lncRNA from 1 species
AUGAGCUGGGAUAGCUGCUUAUAUAGGAUAGAGGACACAUGAAGGGGCAUUGAGCAGAUUUCAAGGGUCAAGGGUACCCCCUGGUCCAUGCAGGUGCCCCUGGACUCAGCAGUCAGUUGUGUGGGACUUACUGGGUUGUGCUCACCCCCCACAGCAGCUCUCCUUCCCUAGUGGAGUUCAGGGUACAGCAGGUCCCACGGGGUUCUAAGCAGGGAGCCACCUGCCCAGGCCUAGGGACCAGCCCCCUCCCUCCCCUCAGCUCCUUCACCCUGGAGACCCAGGUCCUCCGACCCCCUGAUGGCCCAUCCCUGGGUCUCUGUCUCACUGUCCCUAAGGUCAGGUCUCUCUGUAGGAGUGCUUUUCAAACAGGUUCUGGACGGGUGUUUUUAUUUAGAUAGUUAUGCAUUUUUCCAUAUUUAUUAGAAAAAAACAUAACGUGUUGAACCUGUGAUUUCACAGGCAUAGUGCUUAGGUCAAGGCUGAGUUCUAAAAAGCAAGUCGAUCUAAAGUCAGUUUAAGGAAGGAGCUUGGAAUGCGUUGGCAGUGGUGUCUGCAGAUUUAGCAGAAAUGCAGCAGGGUUGGCAAAUGCCAUGCUUUGGCUGUUGGGGGCCUUGGCCUCUGCUGACGCCUGCCCAGCUGUAGGGGAUGUCCUUGCUCCCAAACCCUGACUUCAAAGACCUUGGCUUCCAGAGGGCUGUGUGGACAGGCUCUGGGGGAAUUCUAGGCUGCCCCGGGGACCCUUGGGGCCUGGGUGCUAUAGCAGAGUGGAGAGGAGGUGGGUGAUGGGCUUCACUGCCUGGAGGCCCUUCUCAGAGCUGAGGGGUGGGGGGGGGGAAGUGUCCUCAGGCCCACUGUGCACCUGAGGAGACCCAGGCCCAGAGGGGAAGUGGCCCUGGGGUCCUGCAGGGCCUGGCAGCAAAGAAGCUGGGGUACCUGUGAAAGCCAGUGGAGGGCCAGGACCUCACACCUGGACAGUGUAAAAGCAUCCCGGAUCUUAAAGGUGGGCGAUUUGGGGCGUCCAGCCUGGCGUAGGGCUGGUGUGCCCGUCACCUUCACAGGGACAAGUUCCGACACUGUCCGUCAGCCUCUGUUUUUCUGGGCCCAGCCUCUGCCAUCUUGUUUAAUCUGCAGGGCGGCCCUGUGGGGGGUGGGGGUGCUGCUCCAAGCGGACUUUCCAGUGUCACUUGGUCCUCAGUGGCCGGCAGGGAUUACGUCCCUUCACCCUGAACUGUGUGACCCUGCAAUAAGCAGGCACGUGAGGAGGACAUUAUAGGCAAAGGGACCAGCGUGAGCAAAGUCCAGGCCCAGCCGAGCAGGGCACGCGAGAAGGUGGGAACAGCUGGACCUGGAGGCAGAGAAGCUGGGCCCCUGCGGCCGGCUCCGGCAAAGUGCCGAAUGCCGAUUCCAGGCAUUUGCCCUUGUUCCCGUGGGUGUCAGGGACCAGGAAGCCGAGAGGCACCAGCCUGAACGCUGAGAUGAAUGUGGGUUGGGCAAACGGUCCCUCCUCCCCCUCCAACUCUGUGACCUGGGCUGUGUCCAUCACAAAAGCACAAACUUACCCUAAUCCACUUGGGCCUGGCUGUGGGGAGGAUGGGGUUCCCGCACCAACUCCCCUAAAGCUGUUUGUUUGCCAGGCUCUGUGGAGUGGAGACUGGUGGGCACCUUGGCAUCUGCAGAGAGGGCCUCGGGACAAGACGGGCCGCGGCCUGCCCCUGGCCACGCUCCCUCCUUUCCCUGCAAUGUCCUCUGCCCCAGGCAGCCUGUUGAAGGAGGACAAAGCGCACAGUAUCAGCCUGUCUGCCUGUCCCUGUCCCUCCCUGGGAGCCUGCCGCUCCAGCCCCCUUUGCUGCGCUGUGUAAGGGCUUGGGGUCUUAGAAGCCACUGUUUAGCCCAUACACACAUAAAUAUUUCUGUCUUUGUGCAAUAAUCAAUGUUUCUGGCAGAGCCAGAGCCAAGCUGGGGCCUGCGGAGGAGGCAGAGGUCACUCCUCCAGGAAGCCCUCGGCUGGCUCGGCCGCUGUGGCUGCAGCACACCCCCACCCCAUCACUGUACAGUUUCUAUGGUGUGAAUGAACUUCCCUCCUAGUUGCUGACGGCGCUGGUCCCUGCGGGCCCAGAUGGCCCAGGCGUAGAGAGACCAAGCGGCCACCCCACCAGUGUUGUUUUGAAUAAAAC